UACGGGGGGGGCAAGCGUUGUUCGGAAUUACUGGGCGUAAAGGGCUCGUAGGUGGCCAACUAAGUCAGACGUGAAAUCCCUCGGCUUAACCGGGGAACUGCGUCUGAUACUGGAUGGCUUGAGUUCGGGAGAGGGAUGCGGAAUUCCAGGUGUAGCGGUGAAAUGCGUAGAUAUCUGGAGGAACACCGGUGGCGAAAGCGACUCUCUGGACGGCAACUGACGCUGAGGCACGAAAGCGUGGGGAGCAAACAGG
rnacentral:rRNA from 1 species